AAAUCCGGAAAGCAGUCGGUCAGUGG
rnacentral:sRNA from 1 species